UGGUAUGAAAAAAAUUUAAGUAUAAAUAACUUAACUAACAAGAAGGCAUAGUUACGUGUAAGUAAGUUUAAUUGGUAAAGUACAAUAAACAUGUACCAUCUUUAACCAUUUCAACCCUUAGUCCAGAAUUAAAUAACCUAAAAAAGAUCUUUAAAAUACAGCUAGCAAUAAUCACUCAAUACAUCAUCUCCAAGAAAAUUGCGCCUUCCUGAGAUGGAAAAGAAGAGACUAUUUUUUAUUCUUUGUUGAUUCUGAUAGUAAGUGCCACUUCUUCAACACUACUCCUGGAAUUCAAUAGUUAAUUAGUUAGUAGAGCAGGAUAUUGAAAUUUUCAAACCAUAACUUUGUAGCUUUGACCAUAUUCCUCUCUAACUUCCAAGUUAUGAAAUACUUUAUACCUGAGUAUAAUGAAAUAUUCGGAGAAGGUGAUUUUCAAAACUAGGAAAUGACAUUUCAAUAUACACUUGCAUAAAUAAAUCACUAAAAAAGAUGGUAGUCUUGACCAAUAACAUCAAAGCCUCAACAAUCAUCAACAUUCUUUUAGUUAAAGAAAAAUGUAAAGAAGAAUGCAAAAUAGACAGAUGUACAAGUUCAUCCAAUUACUGUUGACAUACUUAGUAUUUCUGGAACUACAACUUAACAAUUUGAUGGAACUUCUAUCCUACUCCAACUACAAUUCUUAGAGAUAAUUAUCAAUUUAGCAGAGCUUCUAAAGCAGCUGAUUGCAGUAAAACAAUUUCAAAUGCUCCUCUGUUUAGUUUUACAUCCAAUUUCAAGUUUUAUACUCCAACACAACAUGAAAAACUCAUGUUCUUGAGAAUUCAGUGAUGACUUCUCAUGCUAUUGAGCCCUAAUUUUUGCUUUGACGGAAUGUUGACCGAGGCCGAGGUAGAACCUCCUAUUUUAAGAGAGUUAACCAAAAUUUUAAUAGAAUCAAAAUCAUAAACUAGAAACAAACAAAAUUAGAGAGGAAGUAACUUACCAUUUCAAGCCGUAAUUAAGAUACCCACAUUCAAAUUUCCCGACUCAAAACACCAAUCGACAACCAUACCAGUUGAUGAUUUCAAGCUUAAUCAAGCAACCACCAUGAAAGAAAAAGAAAGCAGAUUUCUUUUGGUUUUUCUGACCACGUAUAUUGAGCAUUUAGAAUAGCUAGAGUUGACUGAAAUUGGGGAAAGUGAAUGAAAGAGAAAAACAAAAGAGGAACAUAUGGGGGAAAAGGGAAUAAAAAUGAGGGAAGCAUUGCCACG
rnacentral:lncRNA from 1 species